CAACUCAAAGUGGAACAAGGACCUAGGCAUUAUACCAGUGACCGUGUAUCUACUAGAAGAAAAUAUAGACCCAACUCUCCAUCAUGUAAGCUCAGGAAUGGACUUCUUUACUAAGAUUCUUAAAGCAUAAGAAGUAAAAUCAAGAAUCAAUAAAAUCAAGAAUCAAUAAAUCAAUAAACUAAGAAGCUUCUUCACAGCAAAGGAAACAAUCAAGAACAAGAACAGAGAACCUACAAAUUGGGAGAAAAAUCUUUAUCACCUGCACCUCAGAAGAAGAAAUGCAAUCGAUCAACAAAUAUAUAAAAAAAUGUUCAACAUCUAUAGCAAUUAGAGAAAUGCAAAUCACAACUACUAGAAGAUUUCAUCUCACUCCAGUCAGAAUGGCAAUUAUCAAGAAUACAAGUAACAGUAAAUGUUGGUGAGGAUGUGGGAGGAAAGGUACACUCAUACAUUGCUGGUGGGACUGCAAAGUUACACUCUGGAAAGCAGUAUGGAGAUUCCUUAGCAAACUUGGAAUGAAGCCACCAUUUGACUCAUUUAUCCCACUCCUUAGUUUAUACCAAAAGACUUAAAAUCAGCAUACUACUGUGAUGCAGGCACAUCAGUGUUUAUAUGUGGUGAGCCGCUUCUGCCGUUUCUGCAGAUUAUGGUCGCCAUUACAAGAUGACGCUGGCUCCGCUGUGGUCUGUGACAAACAACUUCUUAUCUGGGAAAGUUGGCACAUGAUUUUUCAUCACCCUGUGAGAAAGCUCCACGCGGCAGCUUUGCAUUGGGGCUUGGGAUGCUUUAUUAAGGCUGGGAGGGGCAUCCGAGAGAGAGAAGAAGAAAUAUCAAGGGCCUGAAUAAACUGCUGAAAGAAGAUUCCUGAGUUGCGUCUUCCUUGCGGGCAAGGGGUCGCGACAAGUGGUGCCGAAACCCGGGAACCAGAACUUUCAACAGUCAGGGGUGGUGCACCGGUUAGUCCCAGAUUUUAUGAUUCCAGAAAUGCCUCCCACAUCAUCGGGGAGUAUCCAUCCGGAACCUGGUCCAUGGAAGCAGAAAACAUGAUCCAGUCUCAACUAACCCAGAUAGCUGUCUUGAACAGUACCCGUGUCGAACCAGUGACUUUGGGUCAAUUCACCGAUUGGAUAUCUUCUGCUUUUUCCUUCUUCAAAGAGUGGGUGGGAGUAGGCAUUUUUGGUGCAAUGUGUUGCUUCAGUGUUGUGCUCUGUUUGUGGCUUCUCUGUCGCCUUAAAACUCGCCAUGCACAAGAAAAGGCUAUGAUCAUACAAGCUCUUGAAGCUUUAGAAAAUGGCAACUCACCUCAAUUCUGGCUUGCGCAUCUUAAGCAGUAAACCUUUGUCAUGGUCGUUACACCCCAAGUUAUUAUAACAUUGCACUGGGAUCGACAUGACUUUCCUUGUUAUUCUCUUAGUGUUGGAAAGCCCUUGCACUCUGCCGGUCUUACUGCCAUUGCACGCAGAUGGGUUUCCACACUAGUGCUUUUCUAUCGUCUUAAAGUCCGUGCCUUUCUUUCAGGGUGCUGUCAACUUGUUUGUCGUUAUAAACAGCCACAGUUCAGCCUCAGCUAUCCCCCUUCGUCCACCAUCGUCACGAUACAGGAUGCGAGGCAAGGCACUGCACUUGAGUGAUCCUUGACGUGGACCUCAAGGAGAGCAUGUCCUAUUGCAUGCGGGUUAGACGCGUCCACGCCCCGCCCCACGAAAAAAGGCGUCGGCUGAUAUGGCCUCAGAUCUGGGGAAGGGCCCUCCUUGGGACUGAGCCAUACUAUGCAGCCACUUCUGCACAGUGGGAUAGGACCUCUACUCUCGCCUGUAUUGUUUUAAUAAAACAAAAAAGGGGGAACUGUGGUGAGCCGCUUCUGCCGUUUCUGCAGAUUAUGGUCGCCAUUACAAGAUGACGCUGGCUCCGCUGUGGUCUGUGACAAACAACUUCUUAUCUGGGAAAGUUGGCACAUGAUUUUUCAUCACCCUGUGAGAAAGCUCCACGCGGCAGCUUUGCAUUGGGGCUUGGGAUGCUUUAUUAAGGCUGGGAGGGGCAUCCGAGAGAGAGAAGAAGAAAUAUCAAGGGCCUGAAUAAACUGCUGAAAGAAGA